UACGUAGGGGGCAAGCGUUGUCCGGAAUCAUUGGGCGUAAAGCGCGUGUAGGCGGCUUGGUAAGUCUGCUCUGAAAGCCCGGGGCUCAACCCCGGGAGGCGGGUGGAUACUGUCAAGCUCGAGUCCGGAAGAGGAGUGUGGAAUUCCCGGUGUAGCGGUGAAAUGCGCAGAUAUCGGGAGGAACACCUAUGGCGAAGGCAGCUCGCUGGGACGUUACUGACGCUGAGACGCGAAAGCGUGGGGAGCAAACAGG
rnacentral:rRNA from 1 species